UACGUAGGGGGCUAGCGUUGUCCGGAAUCAUUGGGCGUAAAGCGCGCGUAGGCGGCCCGGUAAGUCCGCUGUGAAAGUCAAAGGCUCAACCUUUGAAUGUCAGCGGAUACUGCCGGGCUAGAGUCCGGAAGAGGCGAGUGGAACUCCUGGUGUAGCGGUGGAAUGCGCAGAUAUCAGGAAGAACACCAACGGCGAAGGCAGCUCGCUGGGACGGAACUGACGCUAAGGCGCGAAAGCAUGGGGAGCGAACAGG
rnacentral:rRNA from 1 species